rnacentral:rRNA from 1 species
UACGAAGGGGGCUAGCGUUGCUCGGAAUCACUGGGCGUAAAGCGCACGUAGGCGGCUUGUUAAGUCAGGGGUGAAAUCCUGGAGCUCAACUCCAGAACUGCCUUUGAUACUGGCGGUCUCGAGUCCGGGAGAGGUGAGUGGAACUGCGAGUGUAGAGGUGAAAUUCGUAGAUAUUCGCAAGAACACCAGUGGCGAAGGCGGCUCACUGGCCCGGUACUGACGCUGAGGUGCGAAAGCGUGGGGAGCAAACAGG